UUAUUAUACUUUAUAUAAUUUCAAUAUCUAAAUGUUUUUGGCCACAUUUAGCAAGAACAUUGUGUUUAUUAUUUUAUAGUUUUAAAUGGAUUGUUUAUUUAGAUCAGUGAGUCUCAAUGUGGAGUCUGGGAUUUUAUUAAAUAAUUAUAAUGAAAUGUAAUAAUACCUCUCCAUUAUCACAGUUAUUGUGUAUCACAAAAUCUUUUGAUUAUAUGAACCUGUUUGGUUGUUCUUGUAAAUGAAAAAGUUCAUCUAAUACGUCAAAUUUGAUGAAUUAAAAUGUUAUUGUAUACAUUUGAAUAAAAGCUUCCGGUCCAGAAAAUCAGACGAGUAAACCUGACCAUCAGCAGAGUGAAGAGAAUGGAUUGACCCUUUUGCCGUUUCUCAUCUUAUCAGUAAUAAUAAACUGCAUUCUGAUCAUCACAGUUACAGGAGAAUAGCCUCUCGUACCGCGACCCAGGAACAGCUUCUCAGACCUUCUGGUGCCGACUCUUUGGCCAUACUCAACACUGCACUCAACACUCAACACUCAACACUCAACACUGCACUCAACACUCAACACUCCCUUGUCCUGGUGAUCAUCAGCCUUGGGGCAGGGGUUCUCGCCCAGGCUCAUCCACACGACAACACCUUCUGGUUAUAUACUCUUUUCGGUCAUUGGGCACCAUACGUUUCCUUGAUAAUCCCGAUUGUUGUUGUUUUCCUGCUUUUGUGCUUAUUUGGACCAUGUAUUGUUCAAUGUAUCCACUAAUCAUUUACCCGUAUGCUUUCUGAUUAUCAAUCUGUCCCUCGUGUACCUGAAUAUUAUCCUAUUCCCAUGCGACAUGUUUGAUUGUUUUAAAUUGUGAUUUAUCCAUUAAUAGUUUAUCAUGGAUAAAAGAGGGGAUGGUAUCUUGUUAAUUACUUUAUACACUUGUCAUUUUGGGUUUGUUUUUUGUUUUUUACAACUUUUUAAACACUUUAUUUUAAAGCAUUUUUUUAAAUAGCAGCUUCUAUGAAAGAAAUUAUAAUAAUUAGUGUGAACAUGCAUGUUUUUAUUCCGGUCUAUUUUUGUUGAGUGAUAAAUAAAUUGGAGAAAACGUGA